AGAGUUUGAUCAUGGCUCAGAUUGAACGCUGGCGGCAUGCCUUACACAUGCAAGUUGAACGGCAGCACGGGGGCAACCCUGGUGGCGAGUGGCGAACGGGUGAGUAAUGCAUCGGAACGUACCCAGUUGUGGGGGGAUAGCCCGGCGAAAGCCGGAUUAAUACCGCAUACGACCUGAGGGUGAAAGCGGGGGACCGCAAGGCCUCGCGCAAUUGGAGCGGCCGAUGUCGGAUUAGCUAGUUGGUGGGGUAAAGGCUUACCAAGGCGACGAUCCGUAGCUGGUCUGAGAGGACGACCAGCCACACUGGGACUGAGACACGGCCCAGACUCCUACGGGAGGCAGCAGUGGGGAAUUUUGGACAAUGGGCGCAAGCCUGAUCCAGCCAUGCCGCGUGCGGGAAGAAGGCCUUCGGGUUGUAAACCGCUUUUGUCAGGGAAGAAAUACGCUGGGAUAAUACCUUGGCGUGAUGACGGUACCUGAAGAAUAAGCACCGGCUAACUACGUGCCAGCAGCCGCGGUAAUACGUAGGGUGCAAGCGUUAAUCGGAAUUACUGGGCGUAAAGCGUGCGCAGGCGGUUGUGCAAGACAGAUGUGAAAUCCCCGGGCUCAACCUGGGAACUGCAUUUGUGACUGCACGGCUGGAGUGCGGCAGAGGGGGAUGGAAUUCCGCGUGUAGCAGUGAAAUGCGUAGAUAUGCGGAGGAACACCGAUGGCGAAGGCAAUCCCCUGGGCCUGCACUGACGCUCAUGCACGAAAGCGUGGGGAGCAAACAGGAUUAGAUACCCUAGUAGUCC
rnacentral:rRNA from 1 species